AGAGUUUGAUCCUGGCUCAGGAUGAACGCUGGCGGCGUGCCUAACACAUGCAAGUCGAGCGUGAAAUUCAUGAAUGAUCCUUCGGGUGAAUGAUUGGAUGGAAAGCGGCGGACGGGUGAGUAACGCGUAGGUAACCUGCCUUAUGCUGGGGGAUAGCCAUUGGAAACGAUGAUUAAUACCCCAUAAGACUACAGUACCGCAUGGUACAGUGGUAAAAGAUUUAUCGGCAUAAGAUGGACCUGCGUCUGAUUAGCUAGUUGGUAAGGUAAAGGCUUACCAAGGCGACGAUCAGUAGCCGACCUGAGAGGGUGAUCGGCCACACUGGAACUGAGACACGGUCCAGACUCCUACGGGAGGCAGCAGUGGGGAAUAUUGCACAAUGGGCGCAAGCCUGAUGCAGCAACGCCGCGUGAGUGAUGAAGGUUUUCGGAUCGUAAAACUCUUUUCUUAGGGAAGAAGAAGUGNCG
rnacentral:rRNA from 1 species